rnacentral:tRNA from 2 species
GCCCCUGUCGUCUAGCCAGGCCUAGGACAUCGCCCUUUCAAGGCGGCAACACGGGUUCGAAUCCCGUCGGGGGCG